UUUUAUUUGAGAGUUUGAUCCUGGCUCAGGAUGAACGCUGGCGGCGUGCCUAACACAUGCAAGUUGAGCGAUUUACUUCGGUAAAGAGCGGCGGACGGGUGAGUAACGCGUGGGUAACCUACCCUGUACACACGGAUAACAUACCGAAAGGUAUGCUAAUACGGGAUAAUAUAUUUGAGAGGCAUCUCUUAAAUAUCAAAGGUGAGCCAGUACAGGAUGGACCCGCGUCUGAUUAGCUAGUUGGUAAGGUAACGGCUUACCAAGGCGACGAUCAGUAGCCGACCUGAGAGGGUGAUCGGCCACAUUGGAACUGAGACACGGUCCAAACU
rnacentral:rRNA from 1 species